UUUUAUCCUGACUUAUUCGUAUCCCCUGUAGAUGUUGUGUGUUUCCCCGGUGGAGUCUUUCCAUUUUAUAUGGAUUUCCUCUAAUCUCAUAGCAGUUGUAAGUCGUAGCAUGACCUACGCAUAACCCAUUUUUAUCCCCAAGAGUCUCUGUCUCCCCAGUGAGUUUUCCUUAUGGAAUGCAUUGUGCUACUGCGGACUUCCGGUUUCUCUGAUUUCUUUUUCC
rnacentral:lncRNA from 1 species